AGCGAACGCUGGCGGCAGGCUUAACACAUGCAAGUCGAACGCCCCGCAAGGGGAGUGGCAGACGGGUGAGUAACACGUGGGAACGUACCCUUUGGUUCGGAAUAACUUGGGGAAACUCAAGCUAAUACCGGAUAAGCCCUUAUGGGGAAAGGUUUACUGCCGAAGGAUCGGCCCGCGUCUGAUUAGCUAGUUGGUGAGGUAAUGGCUCACCAAGGCGACGAUCAGUAGCUGGUCUGAGAGGAUGAUCAGCCACACUGGGACUGAGACACGGCCCAGACUCCUACGGGAGGCAGCAGUGGGUAAUAUUAGACAAUGGGGGCAACCCUGAUCCAGCCAUGCCGCGUGAGUGAUGAAGGCCUUAGGGUUGUAAAGCUCUUUUACCCGGGACGAUAAUGACUGUACCGGGAGAAUAAGCCCCGGCUAACUUCGUGCCAGCCGCCGCGGUAA
rnacentral:rRNA from 1 species